GACGAACGCUGGCGGCGUGCCUAAUACAUGCAAGUAGAACGCACAGUUUAUACCGUAGCUUGCUACACCAUAAACUGUGAGUUGCGAACGGGUGAGUAACGCGUAGGUAACCUGCCUGGUAGCGGGGGAUAACUAUUGGAAACGAUAGCUAAUACCGCAUAAUAUUGAUUAUUGCAUGAUAAUUGAUUGAAAGAUGCUAUUGCAUCACUACCAGAUGGACCUGCGUUGUAUUAGCUAGUAGGUGAGGUAACGGCCCACCUAGGCGACGAUACAUAGCCGAACUGAGAGGGUGGUCCGCCACACUGGGAAUGAGAAACGGCCCAGACUCCUACGGGAGGGAGCAGUAGGGAAUCUUAGGCAAUGGACGAAAGUCUGACCGAGAAACGCCGCGUGAGGGAAGAAGGUUGUCGGAUCGGAAAGCUCUGUUGUAAGAGAAGAAAGGGUGUGAGAGUGGAAAGUUCACACUGUGACGGUAUCUUACCAGAAAGGGACGGCUAACUACGUG
rnacentral:rRNA from 1 species